CCUACGGGAGGCAGCAGUGGGGAAUAUUGGGCAAUGGACGCAAGUCUGACCCAGCAACGCCGCGUGAAGGAAGAAGGCUUUCGGGUUGUAAACUUCUUUUAAGGGGGAAGAGCAGAAGACGGUACCCCUUGAAUAAGCCACGGCUAACUACGUGCCAGCAGCCGCGGUAAUACGUAGGGGGCGAGCGUUAUCCGGAUUCACUGGGUGUAAAGGGAGCGUUGACGGCCGUGCAAGCCAGGAGUGAAAGCCCGGGGCCCAACCCCGGGACUGCUCUUGGAACUGUGCGGCUGGAGUGCGGGUGGGGCAGGCGGAAUUCCUGGUGUAGCGGUGAAAUGCGUAGAUAUCAGGAGGAACACCGGCGGCGAAGGCGGCCUGCUGGACCGCGACUGACGUUGAGGCUCGAAAGCGUGGGGAGCGAACAGGAUUAGAUACCCGGGUAGUC
rnacentral:rRNA from 1 species